rnacentral:lncRNA from 1 species
GUUAGAAUGCUGAUAUUGCAUUGAUCUUGUCAUAAUGACCUGUAUGUCUCACUCUGUUCCUUCUAUCAUGCUUCCCUGGCCAGAUGUGAUAUGUUCCUCCUCCUGGUCAUCCCUACCCACCUGGGGUCAUAUCCACCAUCGCCAUCAUUACAGGAGCAACAAGAACAGUGAUAAAAGAUGAAAACCAAGACCCAGAGCGGAGACAAAUUGAAAAUUGAAAAAGAGAGAAGGAAUGGCAGACAUAUCAGUGGAGAAUGAAACAGUCAGCAGUGGCUGAAUUAACUUCUGACCAGAAGACAAGCGACAAAAGAAAUUUGUCACAGUAGUAUUAUAACUGAUAUGUUUUCAG